rnacentral:rRNA from 1 species
UACGUAGGUGGCAAGCGUUGUCCGGAUUUACUGGGCGUAAAGAGCGCGCAGGCGGUCGGAUCAGUCGAAUGUGAAAGCCCCCGGCUCAACUGGGGAGGGUCAUUCGAUACUGUCCGACUCGAAGGCAGGAGAGGGAAGCGGAAUUCCCGGUGUAGUGGUGAAAUGCGUAGAUAUCAGGAGGAACACCGGUGGCGAAGGCGGGUCUCUGGACAGUUCCUGACACUGAGGCACGAAGGCCAGGGGAGCAAACGGG